UGUCUAUGAUGGACUUUAGCGGAAGUGCUCUGUUCGUGUACUUUAAAUUUGUUAAAAUUUAAGAGCGGAGUGUCCGGCUCGAUCCCUGCGAGUUGAAUAUUGGACACUUGAGUAAUCAGUGUUUUUCCAAAUUCUGGUAAUAUUUAACAUAACCACUGGAGGGAAGCAAUUCAGCACAGUAAUGUUUAUCGUAGUGGAGGCGAAUCCGGAUGGCACUUUGUUUGUUAAUAAGUUUAAUGGUAUCUAUUGUCACAACUCUAAAUU
rnacentral:SRP_RNA from 1 species